CAGGCCUAACACAUGCAAGUCGAACGGUAACAGGCCGCAAGGUGCUGACGAGUGGCGAACGGGUGAGUAAUGCAUCGGAACGUGCCCAGUCGUGGGGGAUAACUGCUCGAAAGAGCAGCUAAUACCGCAUACGACCUGAGGGUGAAAGCGGGGGACCGAAAGGCCUCGCGCGAUUGGAGCGGCCGAUGUCAGAUUAGGUAGUUGGUGGGGUAAAGGCCUACCAAGCCGACGAUCUGUAGUUGGUCUGAGAGGACGACCAGCCACACUGGGACUGAGACACGGCCCAGACUCCUACGGGAGGCAGCAGUGGGGAAUUUUGGACAAUGGGGGCAACCCUGAUCCAGCAAUGCCGCGUGCAGGAAGAAGGCCUUCGGGUUGUAAACUGCUUUUGUCAGGGAAGAAAUCCUGUGGGUUAAUACCUCGUGGGGAUGACGGUACCUGAAGAAUAAGCACCGGCU
rnacentral:rRNA from 1 species